rnacentral:rRNA from 1 species
CAUGGCUCAGGGUGAACGCUAGCUACAGGCUUAACACAUGCAAGUCGAGGGGCAUCAGGAAGAAAGCUUGCUUUCUUUGCUGGCGACCGGCGCACGGGUGAGUAACACGUAUCCAACCUGCCCUUUACUCGGGGAUAGCCUUUCGAAAGAAAGAUUAAUACCCGAUAGCAUAAUGAUUCCGCAUGGUUUCAUUAUUAAAGGAUUCCGGUAAAGGAUGGGGAUGCGUUCCAUUAGGUUGUUGGUGAGGUAACGGCCCACCAAGCCUUCGAUGGAUAGGGGUUCUGAGAGGAAGGUCCCCCACAUUGGAACUGAGACACGGUCCAAACUCCUACGGGAGGCAGCAGUGAGGAAUAUUGGUCAAUGGGCGCUAGCCUGAACCAGCCAAGUAGCGUGAAGGAUGAAGGCUCUAUGGGUCGUAAACUUCUUUUAUAUAAGAAUAAAGUGCAGUAUGUAUACUGUUUUGUAUGUAUUAUAUGAAUAAGGAUCGGCUAACUCCGUGCCAGCAGCCGCGGUAAUACGGAGGAUCCGAGCGUUAUCCGGAUUUAUUGGGUUUAAAGGGAGCGUAGGUGGACUGGUAAGUCAGUUGUGAAAGUUUGCGGCUCAACCGUAAAAUUGCAGUUGAUACUGUCAGUCUUGAGUACAGUAGAGGUGGGCGGAAUUCGUGGUGUAGCGGUGAAAUGCUUAGAUAUCACGAAGAACUCCGAUUGCGAAGGCAGCUCACUGGACUGCAACUGACACUGAUGCUCGAAAGUGUGGGUAUCAAACAGGAUUAGAUACCCUGGUAGUCCACACAGUAAACGAUGAAUACUCGCUGUUUGCGAUAUACAGUAAGCGGCCAAGCGAAAGCAUUAAGUAUUCCACCUGGGGAGUACGCCGGCAACGGUGAAACUCAAAGGAAUUGACGGGGGCCCGCACAAGCGGAGGAACAUGUGGUUUAAUUCGAUGAUACGCGAGGAACCUUACCCGGGCUUAAAUUGCAGUGGAAUGAUGUGGAAACAUGUCAGUGAGCAAUCACCGCUGUGAAGGUGCUGCAUGGUUGUCGUCAGCUCGUGCCGUGAGGUGUCGGCUUAAGUGCCAUAACGAGCGCAACCCUUAUCCUUAGUUACUAACAGGUUAUGCUGAGGACUCUAGAGAGACUGCCGUCGUAAGAUGUGAGGAAGGUGGGGAUGACGUCAAAUCAGCACGGCCCUUACGUCCGGGGCUACACACGUGUUACAAUGGGGGGUACAGAAGGCAGCUAGCGGGUGACCGUAUGCUAAUCCCAAAAUCCUCUCUCAGUUCGGAUCGAAGUCUGCAACCCGACUUCGUGAAGCUGGAUUCGCUAGUAAUCGCGCAUCAGCCACGGCGCGGUGAAUACGUUCCCGGGCCUUGUACACACCGCCCGUCAAGCCAUGGGAGCCGGGGGUACCUGAAGUACGUAACCGCAAGGAUCGUCCUAGGGUAA